ensembl:lncRNA
GUUACUCACAGUCAGAGCUCAUUCCAAGUGAUGCAGGUGCAAGUAACUGAAUACCUGAAAGCAAGAAGACGUUUUAAUUAUCUCCUUUAACCAAUCUGAAAAGAGAAGGUUCCGCAGGUUCCUCCAUUGUUGAUGGUUGCGUCUGCAGCCUGGAUCACUGUCUCUGCGGUUCUCCCGGUCACAGGGUGGGCUCAGCAGCUCCAAACAUGUCCUCACACAGCAGCAAUAUUCCAGGCAGAAGGAUGAAGAUGGGCUGAUAGGCGAUAGGAAUGCUCCUCACACAGCUGUCCUGAUACCUUGGGAAAAACCCUUCCCAGAAGCAGCCAAACUGAUUUCCCUUGGUAUCUCAUUGGCUAGACCCUAGCUGUAAGGGAUGCUGGGAUGAGGAGCCUGGAUUUUCCGCCUCUGUAGUGAGAGGCAGGUGAAGUUUACCUAGAUAUAAGCCAGAGAUCCCUGUGACCAGUGUUUGAUCCUCCUGAAAACCUGAAAAUGGGAGAAUAAAGUGAAUGCUCAGAGAAGCACAGAUGGACGAUGGGGAGAGAGAGUAUCCUGGGGCUUUGAAUGCCUGGAUCCCACUGUUCCUGAGGCCAGACCUUUCCUCUUUCUGAGAAGGUCUUUCCCCACUGGCACGUCUUGCAAGAAGGAAGACAGGAGAGCUGGAGCCAGAGAGCUGGGCUCUUGCUGGAGCCCUGAUGGACAGCACAGUUACUGAGGAUUUCAUGAGACAAGUCAGGCGCCUCUAAUUCCUGGCUCCAGGGAGAGCCUGUCUCUAUACCUGGAUGGCGCUAACUAUUUAUGAAGUGCAUCUUGUCCCUCCUGAGCAUCCGUUUUGCUUCUCUCGGCACCAGCCCCUCAGGAAAUUCCCAGCAGACCCUCAGCGUGUGCUGCAGAGUGAUGCCUCCUCAGCUCGACUGCAGACAUCCUUCCAGCAGGGGACUCUUUCUAAGCCCUAAACCCUAAACGGGCUUCAUUUCAGUGCUUUUGUUAACACUCUCUGCAGGGGAUGGGAGGGGACAGAGGUGGGUGCAGCGGUGGAGGAAGGGGCUGGGACUCCCUGUGGAGGAGGUGCCACUUAGUUCUGGGUCCCUGGAGUCCCCGGACACUGCGGCAGACAGUGCAAAAUGAGCCUGCAUCUGUCUGCCCAAGUCUCUGAGGGGUCUUGCCUGUCAGUCUGUGGGCCAGCUCCGCACCUUAUUUCUCAAUCAGCAUCUCCAGUGCCUGGUGGGCUGGGCUGGUGGGGGAUAUGAUGGUCAGGAUGCCCUGUGAAAGAAGGCCUGUAAUCCUUGCGAUGUGGAGAUUCAGCAUGGGCUGUGGGGUUCCUUCCUUUUGCUCGUGCUCUGCCCACAUGUGGUCACUGAGCACCUAUUUCCUACCAGGCUCUGGGUCAGCCCUUGGGGACUCGGUGGUGGACAGGAAACACCUGCCCUGCCCCUCCCAUCCCCUUGCUGAGGCACUGCCGUGUCUCUCAGCUGGAUUAUGGCAAAGCAGAGCAAGCCUGCGGCGAAACAGACAGACUAUAGAGCCAGACACCCGGGUUGGCUCUCAGCUCUGCCUUGUCUCUGCCUGGUAACUUUGGGCAAAUAACUUUCCCUCUCUGUGCCUCAGUGUUCUCAUCUGUAAGAUGGGGAUAAUCAUCUUACCUAGAUUAUACAGUUGUCAUAAAGUUUAAUAGAUUGGUGAUUGUAAAAGAGCCUGGAGCAGGGCCUGGAACCUGGUAAUUAAAUACAGUAAUCGAAUAAUAAAUAACAUUAUCCUGCUGCUUUUUGUGUCACUCUCUUCUAAGCCAUUCUAUGCAUUCUAUACCCAUUUGAACUACCUAGAGGAUAGGUUUGAUCAUGAUAAAAUCGGUCAAGGACUUCUUUGUUUGAAGUCCAAACUUUUGCAUGACCUUCAGAUCCCUGCUUUUCUAUCCUCCUGCCCAUUGCAUUUCCUCACUGUAUCCCCACGCCCACUCCUCAUCCCUGUCAGCCUUGCAGCCAUCCACGUGGUCUGCCAUGUGCUAAACCUGCUGUACUUUCUCAUACCCUGCUUCACCUGGGGACCUUUCCUCUUCCCUCUUUACCUCCUGGGAGACCUGCAUGGGUCCUUAAAGAAGAGGUUCAAGUAGAGGUUUGUGUUUGAAGGUAGAAGCCUUCCAUCAUUUCCCUCAUGUGUUUGUUGGUAGAAGCCUUCCCCCAUUUUUCCUUCCCUAACCGAAGCCAACCUCCCUCUUGCCUGCGCCCCAUCGACUGUCUACCUGGGUCUGCUGCGUUGGGCAGUGUUUUGUAGUCAUCUGAGCAAGCGCCUGUCUUCCAUCAAACCCUGGCCAUACUGACUUCCUCUCUGAGUGGUCUUAGCAAAUGGUGGUUGAAUGAAUGAAUAAACCAGGUGCUUGAUGAACAGCUGUUAGACUAGAAUGAAGAAGCAGGUGACCUCAUUUCAGCUUUACAACUACCCCUGAUGCAAGAGGGGAAACACUCAGAGCUAGUUGGGAAAGACCUGCUGCUUGGCACUGUCGGUGACUACUGGCUGGCCCCUGGAUGGGCUGCCAGUAAGGCCCAGAUCUGUCUGACCCCUGGGACAGGGCUCAUUCCCCCUACCCCUUUAGCACAAGUUCUUUGCCUGGGAAGAAUAGACUGAUGGGCGCAAAAUGUUGUCUUUUCCAAAGAUGCCUGCCAUAGUAUCUCCAUGCAGUAUGCUCUUCUGUGACUUUACCCACUUCCCAUCUGGAGGUGGACUCCUAUCCUGCUUGCUUUGGAUCUGGGCUGAGCUUGGGCCUGCUUGACCAACAGAAUGCAAUGAAAGUGAUGUACCAAGACUUCCAAGAGGAGGCCGUAAGAAGCCUUGCAGGUUCUGCCUGGCUUCCUUGGAUGUGAUGUGCCCUCUAGGAAGCCAGUGGCCAGGCUAUGAGAUGGCCAGACCACGUGGAGAGGCCACGUGUGGGUGCUCCCAUGGAUGACAGCCCAGGCACGUGAGGGAGCCAUCUGGGCUGUCCCAGCAGUCAGACCUUCAGAUGACUUCAGCCCCAGAGGACAUCUGACUGAAGUCCCAUCUGGGACCUGGAGUGGGUACUGCCCAGCUGGGCCCAGUGCAUCCACAGGAACAUGAGAGGUGAUGAUAGACACAGGCUUGUUUUUGGUCACCAAGCUUUGGGGUGGCAGUUAGAUUAACAAACCACUGGACUCAGUGCCAGCUGGAGGAGGACGAAGACAUGAUGCUGAGCCCUGUCUCCGGGGACAACUCUGGGGGGCCUCUGGCCUAGAGUUCUCAGGAUGUGAAGGGACUAUAGGUGGGACUCAUUUGAUCCUCAGAGCCACCUUAGACUCUACAGACUGCCCUGAGGCAAAAGUAAAGGGAGGGUUGGGAUGACCUUAGGCUGUAAGAAAUAACCAGAGUAUAAUGCAUUCUGCCCCAGCCCUUUCUCUGUCCACUCCUCCAGGAAAAUGGCCUAGGUGCUUGGGAUGUGGCAGGGGGAAGGAAAAUGGUGACAAAGCACCCACUCUGUGCUAGGCGGUUGACCUCAUUAUGUCCUUGCCCUUCAUCCAUUUGGUAAAAGUGGGAGCAUCACUCCUAGUGUACAGAUGAGGAAACCAGGUCAGAAAUGUUCAGCAGUGGGUCCACACAGCUAGCGAAUAGUGAACCUGGCCAAGCCCAGGCCUGCGUCUGUCAUGUUGACGAUGUUGGAAUGGUCUCAACCAUCCUGGGACCCUGGAUCCACCCCACCUGGCCACCGGAUGCCUUGAGGAAGCAGGAGUUUCAGGCUUCCGGGCCAAGGCCU